GCUGGAUUGUGAAUUCAUGCACAGAACCAGACCUUCUCUACACCUAAUGCCAAAAAAAGCCUGCAAAGUUCUCCUCUGUUACAAAGCAACACACAAAGCCCUCCUAGUCCAUCACCUGUUGCUCAAGGCAUCUAAGAGUAGAAACACACUGAGCCCCUGGAGCCCACACUGAGAAGCUGAGCACUGAGAAGGGACCAGGAUAAAUCAGAAAACAAGGAGAAGAAGCACUGCUUUAAUUACAUUUAGAGGUUUCUCCUAGAGCAGUGUCCCUGGUAUGGCAGCAUGGCUGUUUGUUCCUGAAUUAGUCAACCAUCCUAGCAGGACCUUGUAGCUAAUGACUACAAUAGCAAGUAUGGCUUUGAGUGCCACAGAGGUAAGAGAGCAAGAAAGAAAACAGAGCCAUGUCUGUAGGAGUGUGCACCCUAAUGGCAGAGUGGCAAAACUAGCCUUUGUCCCCGAAAAAAGGAAAGAAGGCCAAAAGUUUCUCUCAAGGAUUAGGUGAAAAGCCACCUCAUGGGACCUCAGGGACUUCACCAAAUACUUGAGGACAUCUAAUUGGAUAGAAGCCAAAAAGUCCUGCUUGAUCCAUCAGGGAGAAAAAGAAGAGAAAAGAGCUAAGUGCUUUUGUGAGGUGUUUUUACCAGGAGCAGACCUCUGCACCUGGCUCGAGUUUUUCUCUUUGUUAUUAUGCCUUUUAUUAAACCUUUUUGUUUCUAACACUG